rnacentral:rRNA from 1 species
CCUACGGGAGGCAGCAGUAGGGAAUAUUGCUCAAUGGGGGAAACCCUGAAGCAGCAACGCCGCGUGUAGGAUGAAGGUUUUCGGGUUGUAAACUCCUUUUGUUAGAGAGGAUAAUGACGAUAUCUAACGAUUAAGCACCGGCUAACUCCUUGCCAGCAGCCGCGGUAAUACGGAGGGUGCAAGCGUUCCUCGGAAUCACUGGGCGUAAAGAGCGCGUAGGCGGGAUAGCAAGUCAGAUGUGAAAUCCUAUGGCUUAACCAUAGAACUGCAUUUGAAACUGUUAUUCUAGAGUAUGGGAGAGGUAGGUGGAAUUCUUGGUGUAGGGGUAAAAUCCGUAGAGAUCAAGAGGAAUACUCAUGGCGAAGGCGACCUGCUAGAACAUAACUGACGCUGAUGUGCGAAAGCGUGGGGAGCAAACAGGAGUAGAUACCCUGGUAGUC